GUGCAGCAGUCGCGAAAACUUUACAAUGUGCGAAAGCACGAUAAGGGAACUCUGAGUGCCUCCUAAGGAGGCUGUUCAGGUGUCUAAAAGCACCUGAAGGAAGGGCUGGGUAAGACCGGUGCCAGCCGCCGCGGUAACACCGGCAGCCCAAGUGGUAGCCACGUUUAUUGGGUCUAAAGCGUCCGUAGCCGGCUGGGUAAGUUCCUUGGGAAAUUUGGCUGCUUAACAGUCAAGCUUUCAGGGAAUACUGCCCGGCUUGGGACCGGGAGAGGUCAGAGGUACUCCAGGGGUAGGGGUGAAAUCCAUUAAUCCUUGGGGGACCACCGGUAGCGAAGGCGUCUGACCAGACCGGGUCCGACGGUGAGGGACGAA
rnacentral:rRNA from 1 species